rnacentral:rRNA from 1 species
AUACGUAGGUGGCGAGCGUUGUCCGGAAUUACUGGGUGUAAAGGGCGCGUAGGCGGUUAUGUAAGUCAGGUGUGAAAUUCCACGGCUUAACUGUGGGUGUGCAUCUGAAACUACAUAUCUUGAGUACCGUAGAGGAAAGCGGAAUUCCCAGUGUAGCGGUGAAAUGCGUAGAGAUUGGGAAGAACACCAGUGGCGAAGGCGGCUUUCUGGGCGGAAACUGACGCUGAGGCGCGAAAGCGUGGGGAGCAAACAGGAUUAGAUACCCUGGUAGUCCACGCCGUAAACGAUGGAUACUAGGUGUAGGAGGUAUCGACCCCUUCUGUGCCGGAGUUAACACAAUAAGUAUCCCACCUGGGGAGUACGGCCGCAAGGUUGAA